CUGUACAGUUCAGAGUUUGAUCCUGGCUCAGAGCGAACGCUGGCGGCAGGCUUAACACAUGCAAGUCGAGCGCCCCGCAAGGGGAGCGGCAGACGGGUGAGUAACGCGUGGGAAUCUACCCAUCUCUACGGAAUAACUCAGGGAAACUUGUGCUAAUACCGUAUACGCCCUUUGGGGGAAAGAUUUAUCGGAGAUGGAUGAGCCCGCGUUGGAUUAGCUAGUUGGUGGGGUAAUGGCCUACCAAGGCGACGAUCCAUAGCUGGUCUGAGAGGAUGAUCAGCCACACUGGGACUGAGACACGGCCCAG
rnacentral:rRNA from 1 species